rnacentral:rRNA from 1 species
UACAGAGGGGGCAAGCGUUGUUCGGAAUUACUGGGCGUAAAGGGCGCGUAGGCGGCCUGUUAAGUCGGACGUGAAAUCCCUCGGCUCAACCCUGGAAGGCCGGUGGAAACUGUCGGGCUAGAGUCCGGAAGAGGCGAGUGGAAUUCCCGGUGUAGCGGUGAAAUGCGCAGAUAUCGGGAGGAACACCAAUGGCGAAGGCAGCUCGCUGGGACGGUACUGACGCUGAGACGCGAAAGCGUGGGGAGCAAACAGG